rnacentral:rRNA from 1 species
GUGGGGAAUAUUGGACAAUGGGCGAAAGCCUGAUCCAGCCAUGCCGCGUGUGUGAAGAAGGUCUUCGGAUUGUAAAGCACUUUAAGUUGGGAGGAAGGGUAGUAACCUAAUACGUUGCUACUUUGACGUUACCGACAGAAUAAGCACCGGCUAACUUCGUGCCAGCAGCCGCGGUAAUACGAAGGGUGCAAGCGUUAAUCGGAAUUACUGGGCGUAAAGCGCGCGUAGGUGGUUCAGUAAGUUGGAAGUGAAAUCCCCGGGCUCAACCUGGGAACUGCUUUCAAAACUGCUGAGCUAGAGUACGGUAGAGGGUGGUGGAAUUUCCUGUGUAGCGGUGAAAUGCGUAGAUAUAGGAAGGAACACCAGUUGCGAAGGCGACCACCUGGACUGAUACUGACACUGAGGUGCGAAAGCGUGGGGAGCAAACAGGAUUAGAAACCCUAGUAGUCC